GCGCCCAUAGCUCAGCUGGAUAGAGCGCCAGCCUUCUAAGCUGGAUGCCGCAGGUUCGAGUCCUGCUGGGCGCGCCA
rnacentral:tRNA from 1 species